UCAGGGGGAUGUAGGGUAUAGCUGCUGCUGGGCGGGGCAGGAAGGAACGGGAGUAGGAAAGGAAAGGAAAAUGGGAAAGGAAAGGAAAAGCAAAGGGAAAGAGAAAGGAAAAAGAAAGGGAAAGGAAGUGCAGCGAAGCGAAGGGCUGAGCAGGGCAGGGGCAGGGAUGGAGUGUUUCUGCCUCCCGUCUAGGGGGACAGGGAGCCGCGGUAGAGGCUGGCGAAGGCGGAGGGGCCUGGAGCCUCCCCCAGCCCGUGAAGAGACGUCUCCGCGAAGAGAACGCAGUCAGUGUCCGCGGUGGUGGAGUGGGGAGCGGAUGUCCCGCCUCCACUAAGGGGAAAGGACGGAGCCGCGGGGAGCCGUGCUACGACUCAGGCUUGUAGCCCUAGCUGCGGGAAAAGAUGUGAGGUGGCAGCGGGCGGGCCAGCCGCUCUCCACGAGUGGGUGCCCGGCUGCAGCUGUGUACUUGAGAGCUGGGUAUCAAGGCUGCCGGUAGGAGCCCUCUGGCCCGGACAAAAGGAGAACUAGCGUUCCGCCGAGAGGCCUCCUGGAUCUGCGGGCUGUAACGACCGAUCCGUUUGCCCUGGACCCGACAGGUGCUAGCGGCGGAAGCUUCGGGGCCAUUUUCUGCAGCUCUGGAAACAGAAGCAUCAGGACUGCUCUUCACAUGUUCCAAGAAAGGUGUCUACAUACACUGACAUUCAGGAACUAUCUCUUGCAUCAGGCUUCCAUUUUGCUCUAACCUGCAGCCUUUACUGCAUGCCAAUGAGAAUAUUUCUCAGACACAGUGCAUCCUGUUUUGCUGGGCUGGCAGGUACCUCCUGCUCUCUGCUUCUGCUUUUCUGAAGACACAAUGCAAACCCAACCCUUGCUGGUCUCUCUUCGGAAGGCACAGGUGAGAGGUAUCCUUUCUGGAGGCACAAAGAGGUGAGAAAGCUGCGUUCUGUAACAACAUUGUCCUUGGGGAAGCAAAAAGAAGAUUAAAAGGCAGAAGGCCACCUCUGAGACCCCAUUCCCUGAAAAUGUGAGAAACCUGAAGAACAUGGUGAAAACGUAAAAAAAGGAACCACUUUUUGUAAGAAGGCUCCAGGAUGUAUAAUUUAUUAAACCCAAAGUACAAAGGUGCUGAAAGACCCUCCUAGUCUAUUGUGAAUAGCACCUUGGUAAUAGCAGCUGACUACAAAGGGUACUGUUUUCUGUGUCCUUUCCACAUUGUUCCAGGAAUUAUUUCACACAUGAUCACUGGUACAGUGUUUAUUUACCCCUUAGGUUUAUGCACAUCUUGAGCAGUUUUCCAUAGGUCCCCACAGAGUUACAUAUCAACUGCUCUCCUCCUGUUUUCCUACCUUGUUCUUAAUGAAUCCAUUGGCCAGGAGAGUCAAGUACCUUGUCUGGUGCACAUUUUGCUGCUUACUGCUCGAGGUUUUGGAGAAAACUGUUUUUGUAAGUAUCAGACUGCUCUCAAAUCUUAUGGAAAAUACCAAUUUUACUGCUGAGUAUCAGUAAAAAAAGCCCCUUUGAUAGACCCUGGAACUCCAUCCUUCCUAACACUGAAAGGGAGGUGACAUUAAGAUAAGUUUCAUGUCACAUUUAUCACUACUGUGUCACUAGUCUAUGUUGAUACAAAGCAGAAGUUCACUACAAAAUGCCUUAUUACCAAGACAAUCAAUGAAAGCUAUUAAGUCUUUAACCACUGAAGGCAAUUUGGUAUCACAGGAACCCUUCACACUCUGAAGUAAAGCUGUGGUCUCAGUCAGCUGAAGCGAUCCCACUUAUAGUGCCUUGAAGCUUAACACUUAUAGCCUAUCUCAAGGUAAGUACAAGAGUAAAAUAAUUGUUUUUUAGGCCAGAAAACCAAGACCUGAUUGAAAGAGUAGAAAGGUGAAUAAACCCAACCCAAACCAAAAGAACAAAUCCAAACAAUGUCUUCCUCUUGCAGUCCAAAAACAUUAUGGAAUGCUGGAGUGAUUAGGGACAUACAUAAUUGGUAAGAUCAGGUAGAAAGUUUUUCUCAGUAGGUGAAAACGGUACCUCUGCACACAAUUAUGUUUAAAGUCAGUUCUCAUUACAUAUCCUGAGGAAUCACAUAAAUCAGGACCUGCAAUUAACAACCAAAAAAAAAUACUGUCCAGGUGUGGCCCAGAGCUGAUUACUGAUGCAGCUGGAAUCCUUGAGCAUGAGAUCCAGUAGGAUGCUGCACCUCUGUCCUCUGUGGGAAGGGAAAUACACUUUUACGUAGUGAUGCCACGUUCCAGACGUUAUUUUUAUUUGCAUAUCACAUACCAGGCACAGGAAAAGAGAAAUGGCUCACAGCAUGAAAUGGGCUGGCUCUGGCUGAACACCUCUGCCGUGGAAGCAAGCGCACCUGUUUGGAGAUGUAUUUAGCCAAAGGCCAAACUCUACCAUUCAGAGGAAAUUUAUUUCAUCACCUAGCAACCUCACUGUUCUUCACAGUGGAAUAAACAACCAGAACAAGUAGGUUUUGCAUUUCUUUGUGGCUGAUUCAGCUCCUGGGUUGUAACAGGCUUUCCUAACUACAGGAAUUUUGGCCAGGUCAAACACAAAUCCUCUAGCAUAAACUCCGCAUUUCCCUCCUUCACCUGAUACAGUGUGCUGUACUAGAAAAGGAAACACAAGAGUUUAUGACAAUCAGUUUCAGAAGAAGGAAAAUACUCCAACAGAUAAUUUUUUUUUGCAUUCACAAGAUCAAUACAUUCACGACAAGGUUAUUAAAAUACAAUCCAAAGUAACUGGGAACAAAUUCUACUUCAUCUUCAGACAGCUACAGUGAAUAGACUCAAAACAGCAUGUGCACUGCAGUAUUCCCAACCACAAGAACAGCAGAUGGCAACUGACCACACUGAAAUUCAAGAGCUGUAGCACCAGCUACAGCUCCAUCACCAACACUGCAACAGCCCAGGCACUUUGGAUGGGUGCAAGAAACCUUUUUGCAUGCAGUUGAUGUUGUAAUUCCAUGCAGCUGUCAUCCACAUGUACCAUAAGAAAGCCUCUUAUCAUGGUGUAUUUGGCAUAGAAGACUUGAUUUACUACAAUGUAUGCUUCCAGGCUGUACAUACGUGAAUUAAGCCUGAUGGAAAAUCCCUCACUGAUUCUGAUGAGCCCAAAGGAACUUGAUACAUAGCUCCACUCUGCUUAACUCAGUGGAGAAGUCCCCCUCAAACCUCAUCAAAGAUCUGACUCCUUAUUUAUUUUGGUGGUAUACAGCCAUUAAGUGAGCACUGCCUAUGACACAAACUCAAAAGCCAAGUCUUCUUCAGUGUUUCAGGAAUCAUCCCGACUCUGUGCUUCUCUGAAACUUCACUGAAUUUGGCAAGGUGUAAAGGGAGUACCAACCAACAUAAUUCCCAAGAAGAAGGGAGAAAAGCAACACACAAGUCUUAAGAGGGCAAUCAAUCUUUAUCUCUGAUGGAUAUCUGGUUCUCUCCCCUCCCUACUGUUUUAACAUGUGUGUCAGAUAUAUUCAGCACAUAAAUCUGUACCAAUUUCCACUCCUCAGCAUGUCUUUUCUGCCAGAAAAGAAUGGGAAAAACCUGACAUCUUACAGCAUGCAUGAGUAGAUGAAGAAAUCUUUUUAACAGGAUAAAUAAUGAGCUCCCAAAUAAAGACUUACAUUCUUCUAAGAAAAUAGUGUUUCUAUGCUUGCAUGAGUCAAAUAUGGAGUUGGAAAACGCAAAUUAUAAAAAAACAGGUACCACCUAUUUAUCAGUAUCUAAUGGAAGCGAGGGGUCUGGAGUCUGUCCUGUGCAAAAGCUGAUGGGAAACCUCAAACCACAGCUGCACAGGGCUUACCACCUCCUGCUACUGCCAGUUGGCAAGCCUAAGGAUGAUCUGACAACAGCCUGUUUUAGCCCUUUGCCAACUGUUUUAAACAAGGUGAGGGUGAAAGAUGUGAAUACAAGUGUCUCAGCAGAGCAGUGGCUAGAGGAAACGCGUUGGUUCUUGACAGGCAGGGAUCCCCUGCACAGAGGUGCCCAGCACCUUGGAAAACCUGACUGAGAAGCUGAUAACAAGUAGAUGCCAGCAACAGAUACCAUGCCUAAUUCACUUGUCCCAACUAACUUACUUAGAGAAAACAACCUUCCACAUGUAUCCUGUCACAUACUCAUGUCUUCAAUCACUGCAACCCCCAAAAAACCCAACAUUGCUCAGUCUUAACCAUAUUCUUAUGGUUAAGGAACUUAACUGUGUAACAGUCCUGUGAAUAAAUACAUAUUUGGCAGGAAGGUAAUACAUAAUGCUUCUGAUUUGUGUGGUUCACGACUGAGUGCACCAUCAGCAAGUUUGCCAAUGACACCAAGCUGUCAGUGCAGUGAAUUCUGGAGGUAAGGGAUGGAAUCCGGAGAGACCUUGAUACAGAGAGCAGCCCUGCAGAGAAGGACUUGGA